rnacentral:rRNA from 1 species
AGAUUAAGAAAUUAUUAAUAGUGUACCUUUUGUAUCAGGGAAAUUUAAAAUUAUAAAAAAUAAAUAUAAUCGAUUGAGAUAGGUCUUUACUAUUGUGUUUUUAGUUUAAUUUAAAAAUUAAAUAAAGUUAAGGGGUGAAAAGUGUUCGGUAUCUCUGGUAUCUAGUUGCUUUUUAGUUUAAGAGGUUAAGCUUUUAAAUUUCUAUGUAAUAAAAAAUAAUUAAAAAAGCUAGGCUUUAAAUUAGCCAUGUUAGUAUGUUGUUUUAAACAAUUUUAAAAUUUUAAUUAGGUUAGAAUUAACAGGCAUCUUGUAAUAAUUUAACUAUAUGUUAGUAAUUAAUUUAUUGAACAAUGAAUGGAGCGUAAAAAUAACUCAAGCGUAACUAGACAGUUUAACAAAAACAUUUCCACUUAAUUUUUUGGAGGUAGGGCCUGCCCGGUGAGUGUUAACGGCUGCGGUAUUUUGACUGUGCUAAGGUAGCAUAAUCGAUUGCUUUUUAAUUGAAAGCUGGAAUGAAAGGUUUAACUAGUUAUAUUAGUUUUAGUUGCUAAAUAAAAGAUUUAAGUCAAGGUAAUAAUUCUUUGAUUUACUAGGGGACGAUAAGACCCUAGAAGCUUAACAAUAAGAAUUAUAUUUAUUAGUAAUAAAGUAUUAUUUGUUUUACUGGGGCGGUUUUGAUAAUUAAACGGUCGUUAUUUUGAGUGAUCCUUAGGAUUAAGAUAAAACGGGAAAGUUACUCUAGGGAUAACAGUGCUAUAUUUUUGGAGAGACCUUAUCGAUAAAUAUACUUGCAACCUCGAUGUUGAAUUAAGAUAUCUAGGUGGAGCAGAAGAUACAUACAGAAGGUUUGUUCAACC